ensembl:snRNA U6 U6 spliceosomal RNA
UUGCUCACUUAGGCAGCACAUAUACUAAACAUUGAAAUGACACAGAGACAACAAGCAUGGCCCCUGCACGAGGAUGACACACAAGUUCAUGAACUGUUCCAUAUUUUU